GGUUUCACCAUGUUGGCCAGGAUGGUCUCAAUCUCUUGACCCCCUCCACCUGCCUCGGCCUCCCAGAGUGCUGGUAUUACAGGCAUGAGCCACUGCGCCUGGCCUCUAUUAUUUAAUAUAACUUUAUAUCCUAAAUUAUGACCAGUUUUUCUGCAAGUACUUAUCCUAUUACAUUUACGUAAUUAUUUUAAUUGUUUUACCCUGAUUAUUUAUGAAAACUGUGAUAGUCGUGAUUUAAAGUUAUGAAACUGCCAUUGAAAAUUAUGACUGAGACAGUGAAAAAUUGUCUGUGCAUACUGCCUAAAGCCACAAGAUUCGAAGUUACGGUAAUAUUACUAAAUUCAAGAUGCAGCUAUUUUCAUUAAGCCCAUAUCAAUGUCUUAUUUAUUAAAAAUUACACAAGCAAAGAAUCGUUCUGUUUUGGGCUGGGCUUAU
rnacentral:lncRNA from 1 species